GAGCUGUUUUUCCUUCCCCCCAUGUCUUGGCCUGGGAGUCCCUGAUUCCAAAUUUAUAUAAUGAGGAGGGAGGGGGUUUACAUUCUGCAUUGCAGGGAGGGAUUUUCCUGCCUUUCUCGGCAAAUACCUGCCUUUACCAGCUAGGAAGUGCACGGAAGUGAGGCAGGGAAAUGACAGGAGGGACCAGCUGUAAAUUCAAAGGCAGAAAGAGCAGAUGUACCAGCACAGGGCAGGAAAGGGGAAAGGUUUCAGAAAGCAUUUCUGUGGUCUAAUUAAUGAUAAUUUCUGAUUCCCCAGGGAGAAGAACACCAACUCACAGCCACUCAGGCCUGGCAGUCCCUGCAGUGAGAGCUCAGCACACAUCGACAGAGGCAAGUCCAGCAUCUGAAAGAAGAAAAAUAAACAGAAGAAAAAGGUUCUUGUUCCAGAGGUGCUCUGAUCCCAGAGCCAUACAGGGUCUGUAGUCUUGAUAAAUGGGAAUGAAAUUGGCCCAGUCUGUCAGGAAAGCAAAAACAUCCUGGGGUUUGUUUGGCCAAAGACGGACCAUGAAGAUGUCUGUACUUCCAGUGGGGGGAGAAGAACACCAACUCACAGCCACUCAGGCCUGGCAGUCCCUGCAGCGAGAGCUCAGCACACAUCGACAGAGGCAAGUCCAGCAUCUAACAGAAGAAAAAUAAACAGAAGAAAAAGGGAAAGAGGCCACCUUUUGCGUCUAGGGCCCUGUCACGGCGACUGUGCUCUACCCACUAUAAUUUCAAACGGAUCAGGAUUUAUCGUGGCUUCAAGCGGGCUCCAUAUGAGUCCUGACUGCCUUUGCAGUGCAAAAUACCUCUUCUAAACUGCGAUUAUGCUUCUGGGAGGGGGAGUUUUGGUUCAGAGGGCAAAGCGCCAAUGUUCUCGUCCGGGCCCUGUUCCUGCGACCCGACUUCCAUCUGCUACAACGCCAGACAGAUCAGGAUUUCUCCCAGACACAAGCUGCUAGCACUUAGAACCCCGGCUGCCUUUGCAGUGCAAAACAGCUCCUCCCUACUGAUGUCACAGAACUGGAAUUUCCUCAUCUCAAAUUCAAGUCUGAGAAGCCAAACAGCCACAUUAUUCUGAGGCCUUUUAUACCUCGUGGGAUUUGCUCCUCCUUUUCCUGCAAAGGAGGGGUGGUCCCAAUCAGGGGUCUAUUUUGUGAUGAUGGCAUCAGAUGGAGUGCAGCU